AUUGAACGCUGGCGGCAGGCCUAACACAUGCAAGUCGAGCGGAUGAAGGGAGCUUGCUCCUGGAUUCAGCGGCGGACGGGUGAGGAAUGCCUAGGAAUCUGCCUGGGAGUGGGGGAUAACGUCCGGAAACGGGCGCUAAUACCGCAUACGUCCUGAGGGAGAAAGUGGGGGAUCUUCGGACCUCACGCUAUCAGAUGAGCCUAGGUCGGAUUAGCUAGUUGGUGGGGUAAAGGCCUACCAAGGCGACGAUCCGUAACUGGUCUGAGAGGAUGAUCAGUCACACUGGAACUGAGACACGGUCCAGACUCCUACGGGAGGCAGCAGUGGGGAAUAUUGGACAAUGGGCGAAAGCCUGAUCCAGCCAUGCCGCGUGUGUGAAGAAGGUCUUCGGAUUGUAAAGCACUUUAAGUUGGGAGGAAGGGCAGUAAGUUAAUACCUUGCUGUUUUGACGUUACCAACAGAAUAAGCACCGGCUAACUUCGUG
rnacentral:rRNA from 1 species